rnacentral:rRNA from 1 species
AGCUCCAAUAGCGUAUAUUAAAGUUGCUGCAGUUAAAAAGCUCGUAGUUGACAUUCGGCGCUCGUCUCGGUGGUCCUGUUCACGCAGGCACUGCCUUGACGGCCUCUACACACUGGCUUAAGGUCGUGCAGGCUGGGCAACUGGCAGCACGUACCAUAGCCCCGGGUGCCCUUCAUUGGGUGCCCGUGGGUGGCCUUUGCGUUUACUUUGAAGAAAUUAGAGUGUUCAAAGCGGGCUCUUGAUAGCUCGGAUACUCGUACAUGGAAUAAUGGAAUAGGACCCUGGGUCAUUUCCGUUGGUCUAUGGCCAUUGGGUAAUGAUUAAAAGGGACUGCCGGGGGCAUUGGUAUGGUGGGGGGAGAGGUGAAAUUCAAUGAUCCUCGCCAGACCAACUACAGCGA